AGGUGUUAAAGGGACCCUGGAUUGGCUCCAGGCUUUGUUGACUGCAGUCUGUCUUGGGAAUCAUUCUGACACCACAGACAACUCCUGAGAGACUCGUUUGUGUGCUUCUGGGACAGUAUUGCAGACUAUGCGCACGUGCACACACACACACACCCCAGGCUCUGAAAGGGCCUCAGUACUAGGCACUCACUAUUCACUACUCUGAAAGUAGCUCAGCUCCAGUCCCUCCAGGUUGUUCAGUAGCAGUCCUCCUAUGUAAAGAACUGCGCAGAGUUUCACCUCCCAGGGGACCCAGUGUGGGCUUCCUGAACUGGAUCCCUGUUAGUUAUGGCCUGAGUUUGCCAGGAGUACUCAAGCACCCAGCCUGAGUCUCUGCACAGGCUUGCCAACCUCUGUCCCAUGUCUGCCAAUGGCCUGAGACUUCAGACCCAAUUUCUCUCUUAAGUUGAAGAAUAAGCAGCUCUGCUAGAGGACUGGAAGGAGGUGACUUUCGCAGUGUCUCUGACAUUUCCCUUUAAUCAUUCUUGGAGUCUUAGAAUGUUUCUAUAAAUUGGCUUUUGCUAUUCUCAAUCGGCUUAAAGCGAGCAUGUCAAUCCAGGAACCACGUGGACACAUGCCCAUUCAUGGCUCUGAAGCAACGUCUGUCUCAGUAUCAUAGAGUGGUCCUCUUUUUAGUACCAGACCCAUAGACCAAGGUCCCGGAGAGUGUUUAAUCCACUCCGUGGCCAAACGGAACUUAGAGAGCCCUUGGUAAUGGGUCUGCAAGAAGCAGUCUCCAAUAUAGCCCCCAACGACAGCCGUGUCAUCCAGACCCCAACCACGUGCAUGUGGCCCUGAGCACAGAAGCAAUUCCAUCUUCUCAGACCUAACCUGAGAUCAACUGGCUAAAACCAGUGUGUGAGGGGAGGGAUCAAGGGAGACUGUGACUCCUUUGAAAGCAAAGUACAUGCAGACAGCAAGAAAACCGAUGGGGUUAGGGAAGCAGCGCGUGGCAGGGACUGUGGGAAAGUAGCUGGAGAUAGGUCAGUCCAGACUGUCAUCUGAGGCUCUUCAAACAAGGUCUGGGAUGAGAUACCAAGGUGUGUGACCCAAGGAUGGAAAAGCUCUCCCUGUGGGCUCCUGAGUGCUGUUUGUCCACCCUCAACCCCAGGUUCAUCCAACAGCAGGUUAAAAAUAUUUUUCAAUGGUGUGAAAUAAAGCAGCAUAUGAAUUAGAGACUGGAUAUUAUAAUAGAAAACAUUGAAAAGAACCAGCCAAGAAAAGCAUCCACAGGAAAAGUGACCAGGAGAAAGAUUAGUAAGUCCUAAGACAGGGCCACUGGAAUUAUUCAGUC
rnacentral:lncRNA from 1 species